AAGUCGAGCGAGCUUGCCUAGAUGAAUUUGGUGCUUGCACCAGAUGAAACUAGAUACAAGCGAGCGGCGGACGGGUGAGUAACACGUGGGUAACCUGCCCAAGAGACUGGGAUAACACCUGGAAACAGAUGCUAAUACCGGAUAACAACACUAGACGCAUGUCUAGAGUUUAAAAGAUGGUUCUGCUAUCACUCUUGGAUGGACCUGCGGUGCAUUAGCUAGUUGGUAAGGUAACGGCUUACCAAGGCAAUGAUGCAUAGCCGAGUUGAGAGACUGAUCGGCCACAUUGGGACUGAGACACGGCCCAAACUCCUACGGGAGGCAGCAGUAGGGAAUCUUCCACAAUGGACGCAAGUCUGAUGGAGCAACGCCGCGUGAGUGAAGAAGGGUUUCGGCUCGUAAAGCUCUGUUGGUAGUGAAGAAAGAUAGAGGUAGUAACUGGCCUUUAUUUGACGGUAAUUACUUAGAAAGUCACGGCUAACUACGUGCCAGCAGCCGCGGUAAUACGUAGGUGGCAAGCGUUGUCCGGAUUUAUUGGGCGUAAAGCGAGUGCAGGCGGUUCAAUAAGUCUGAUGUGAAAGCCUUCGGCUCAACCGGAGAAUUGCAUCAGAAACUGUUGAACUUGAGUGCAGAAGAGGAGAGUGGAACUCCAUGUGUAGCGGUGGAAUGCGUAGAUAUAUGGAAGAACACCAGUGGCGAAGGCGGCUCUCUGGUCUGCAACUGACGCUGAGGCUCGAAAGCAUGGGUAGCGAACAGGAUUAGAUA
rnacentral:rRNA from 1 species